UUCACAGCUAUAGAAAAGUGACUAAGACUUU
rnacentral:piRNA from 1 species